GGAGGGUGCAAGCGUUGUUCGGAAUUAUUGGGCGUAAAGCGCGUGUAGGCGGUUAUCUAAGUCUGAUGUGAAAGCCCGGGGCUUAACCCCGGAAGUGCAUUGGAUACUGGAUAACUAGAGGACGAGAGAGGGAAGUGGAAUUCCUGGUGUAGGGGUGAAAUCCGUAGAUAUCAGGAGGAACAUCGGAGGCGAAGGCGGCUUCCUGGCUCGUAACUGACGCUGAGACGCGAAAGCGUGGGUAGCAAACAGGAUUAGAUACCCUGGUAGUCCACGCCCUAAACGAUGGAUACUAGUUAUCGGGAUACCCUAAUAGUCUCGGUGGCGUAGCUAACGCAUUAAGUAUCCCGCCUGGGGGAUUACGGUCGCAAGAUUA
rnacentral:rRNA from 1 species